rnacentral:lncRNA from 1 species
AUUCAGGGACAACCAUCAGAGCCAAGGCUUCCUGAAUGACCCAUAUGGGCCGGUCACCUUUCUAAGAACAUUCCAUGCAUCUUUAACUUUAUUCUCACAAACCUUCUACAGGCAGGUGCUGUUAUAAUCCCAGCUAGCAAGUGGGCAUAGGCAGCCUGUGGGGUGAGCUGAGCCCUUCACCCCUGGGACAUGCUGUCCUCUGGGUACCGUGAGGCAGACUGGAAAAGUGCUACAGCAGACAGCUGACACCCUGGAGCGACGCGGGACCAGUGGUCUCUGGGAAAACGUGAGCUACAACGGCAGGCUGAGGAGAAUGUCUGGGUCAGAGCCUGGCUUUUGGAGGAUCCUGCUGUGCGUGCAGGUAAGCUCUUCCCCACCGCCACCCACCAGUGUGGCUGAGCUUUCUUAAGCCGUUCUACACAGCCAGAGAUUUACCUGCUCAUUUUCUGCGCACCUUCCAGAAGUGGCUACUGCUCUUGCCUUUCUGUCCUCUGCAUCCCUGUGGGUUUAUGUCUUUCAAAUCCCUUUGUUGUAGCUUUGGCCCAGCAAACUCAGAUAACAGUGGUUAAGAACUAUCUUCAGGACCCUGUUUGGCUUCUCCCGGUUUAACAUCAUCUUCUGGUGUCAUUACGUGAUCUUCAUGAUGAUAAUUUUCAUGGUGACAUUAAGAAAGGAGACUUUUCUUGCAAAGAGCGUGUUCCACGGAGCAUUGGUAGGUGUGCCAAAGAUGAAAGGUGCUCUGAGCUGAAACUAGUUUGGGAUGUUUGGGAUUUACGAAGGUAACCGCAAUCAAUUCCAAGGACUAUACUUCCAAGUAUAUAAUCAAUCGCAAGGUCUUGGUACAUUCAAAGACCUACAUCCCAUCAGGCCAUAGUGCUUCCGAAGAGAUUCUGGCCUUACCUCUGUUUCCUUCAGAGCAGUAACGAAGAUCCUAUUUGGGUCCCAUGGGUGACUGUUCCCUGAGCCCCCGGGCCCGGGCUGGGUUAGAUGACUCCCCGUGGACCCUCAUAGUCCCUGCCAC